CGUAGGGUGCGAGCGUUAAUCGGAAUUACUGGGCGUAAAGCGUGCGCAGGCGGUUUUGUAAGACAGGCGUGAAAUCCCCGGGCUCAACCUGGGAACUGCGCUUGUGACUGCAAGGCUAGAGUACGGCAGAGGGGGUGGAAUUCCACGUGUAGCAGUGAAAUGCGUAGAGAUGUGGAGGAACACCAAUGGCGAAGGCAGCCCCCUGGGUCGAUACUGACGCUCAUGCACGAAAGCGUAGGUAGCAAACAGGAUUAGAUACCCUGGUAGUCCACGCCCUAAACGAUGUCAACUAGGUGUUGGGUGGGUAAAACCAUUUAGUACCGGAGCUAACGCGUGAAGUUGACCGCCUGGGGAGUACGGCCGCAAGGUUA
rnacentral:rRNA from 1 species